AAAAAAACUAGUAAGACAGAAAAUGGGAAAACGGUGACGUCUGGGGGAUUGCCAAUGGGGGAGCAGUUGAAGGAAGAAACAAGGAAGCCAAUGCGCAUCACCGACAGUCAAAUUACAGUUGUCACUGAACCCAAAACCAAUCUAAUGGUUGCUGUUGUGAAUACCAAACCCCUUGAAUAUACAGCAAGCAGUGGGACACAAACACGUGUACAAUGCCAUGUGCUCUGCCAUUAAUUUUAACGAGAUUGUGUUUACCACAAAGUUGCUGCCUGCUGAAUUGACCUUGCUUGAUCUUAAUCUGAUGGGCGCCAUUUUUAAUUCGAGGAGCUGAUUACGCCGAUGCCGUGCCGUGUGUCCCAUUGUAAGAGACGAUAGUGUUGAAUUGGGUAUGUUGGUCUGAAUCAGACCCCAUGGUGACAAUUUUAAACAACGCACAUAUUUGUCAAUUACUAAGUUUUUUUUUAUAAAUAAAUUGUGGCCAAAGUCAAUUACGAAGUUACUGGGGCUGGCAAUGCACGCAAAACAAGGCGGCUACACAUUCCAAUUGACAUGGAGGAUAUAUUCAAAUAAAUAUUCAAUGUAGUCGGCCAGACGAAAGUAUCGCCCCACGUCAUAAUCUCAUCGCCAAGCACCAUGUUGUUUGUUUUGGGCAGAGCCCGUUCAGUUUGGGAGGUAGAUUUGAUGGGCUAAUUUUGUUGACCCACUUCUUUUUGGGCUGUUUUACAUAACAAAGCCCGCCCUUUUCAUUGAACUGAACAGACUAGCCAUUUUUUUCAAAAAAGGAGAUUUGGCCCAAUUGAUGGCUCUAA